rnacentral:rRNA from 1 species
UACGUAGGUGGCAAGCGUUGUCCGGAAUUAUUGGGCGUAAAGCGCGCGCAGGCGGUCCUUUAAGUCUGAUGUGAAAGCCCACGGCUCAACCGUGGAGGGUCAUUGGAAACUGGGGGACUUGAGUGCAGAAGAGGAAAGCGGAAUUCCACGUGUAGCGGUGAAAUGCGUAGAGAUGUGGAGGAACACCAGUGGCGAAGGCGGCUUUCUGGGCCGAUACUGACGCUGAGGAGCGAAAGCGUGGGGAGCGAACAGG